rnacentral:rRNA from 1 species
CCUACGGGAGGCAGCAGUGGGGAAUAUUGCACAAUGGGGGAAACCCUGAUGCAGCGACGCCGCGUGAGUGAAGAAGUAUUUCGGUAUGUAAAGCUCUAUCAGCAGGGAAGAAAAUGACGGUACCUGACUAAGAAGCCCCGGCUAACUACGUGCCAGCAGCCGCGGUAAUACGUAGGGGGCAAGCGUUAUCCGGAUUUACUGGGUGUAAAGGGAGCGUAGACGGCCAGACAAGUCAGAAGGGAAAGCCCAGGGCUCAACCCUGGGACGGCUGUUGAAACUGCCGGGCUGGAGUGCGGGAGAGGUAAGCGGAAUGCGUGGUGUAGCGGUGAAAUGCGUAGAUAUUACGAGGAACACCAGUGGCGAAGGCGGCAUACUGGACUGAAACUGACGUUGAGGCACGAAAGCGUGGGGAGCGAACAGGAUUAGAUACCCCAGUAGUC